UUAAAUUGAAGAGUUUGAUCAUGGCUCAGAUUGAACGCUGGCGGCAGGCCUAACACAUGCAAGUCGAACGGUAGCACAGAGAGCUUGCUCUCGGGUGACGAGUGGCGGACGGGUGAGUAAUGUCUGGGAAACUGCCUGAUGGAGGGGGAUAACUACUGGAAACGGUAGCUAAUACCGCAUAACGUCGCAAGACCAAAGAGGGGGACCUUCGGGCCUCUUGCCAUCAGAUGUGCCCAGAUGGGAUUAGCUAGUAGGUGGGGUAACGGCUCACCUAGGCGACGAUCCCUAGCUGGUCUGAGAGGAUGACCAGCCACACUGGAACUGAGACACGGUCCAGACUCCUACGGGAGGCAGCAGUGGGGAAUAUUGCACAAUGGGCGCAAGCCUGAUGCAGCCAUGCCGCGUGUAUGAAGAAGGCCUUCGGGUUGUAAAGUACUUUCAGCGGGGAGGAAGGUGUUGUGGUUAAUAACCGCAGCAAUUGACGUUACCCGCAGAAGAAGCACCGGCUAACUCCGUGCCAGCAGCCGCGGUAAUACGGAGGGUGCAAGCGUUAAUCGGAAUUACUGGGCGUAAAGCGCACGCAGGCGGUCUGUCAAGUCGGAUGUGAAAUCCCCGGGCUCAACCUGGGAACUGCAUUCGAAACUGGCAGGCUAGAGUCUUGUAGAGGGGGGUAGAAUUCCAGGUGUAGCGGUGAAAUGCGUAGAGAUCUGGAGGAAUACCGGUGGCGAAGGCGGCCCCCUGGACAAAGACUGACGCUCAGGUGCGAAAGCGUGGGGAGCAAACAGGAUUAGAUACCCUGGUAGUCCACGCCGUAAACGAUGUCGAUUUGGAGGUUGUGCCCUUGAGGCGUGGCUUCCGGAGCUAACGCGUUAAAUCGACCGCCUGGGGAGUACGGCCGCAAGGUUAAAACUCAAAUGAAUUGACGGGGGCCCGCACAAGCGGUGGAGCAUGUGGUUUAAUUCGAUGCAACGCGAAGAACCUUACCUGGUCUUGACAUCCACAGAACUUAGCAGAGAUGCUUUGGUGCCUUCGGGAACUGUGAGACAGGUGCUGCAUGGCUGUCGUCAGCUCGUGUUGUGAAAUGUUGGGUUAAGUCCCGCAACGAGCGCAACCCUUAUCCUUUGUUGCCAGCGGUUAGGCCGGGAACUCAAAGGAGACUGCCAGUGAUAAACUGGAGGAAGGUGGGGAUGACGUCAAGUCAUCAUGGCCCUUACGACCAGGGCUACACACGUGCUACAAUGGCGCAUACAAAGAGAAGCGACCUCGCGAGAGCAAGCGGACCUCAUAAAGUGCGUCGUAGUCCGGAUUGGAGUCUGCAACUCGACUCCAUGAAGUCGGAAUCGCUAGUAAUCGUAGAUCAGAAUGCUACGGUGAAUACGUUCCCGGGCCUUGUACACACCGCCCGUCACACCAUGGGAGUGGGUUGCAAAAGAAGUAGGUAGCUUAACCUUCGGGAGGGCGCUUACCACUUUGUGAUUCAUGACUGGGGUGAAGUCGUAACAAGGUAACCGUAGGGGAACCUGCGGUUGGAUCACCUCCUUACCUUAAAGAA
rnacentral:rRNA from 1 species